rnacentral:rRNA from 1 species
CAUUCGAGUGGCGGACGGGUGAGUAACGCGUGGGUAACCUGCCUUACACAGGGGGAUAACACCUGGAAACAGGUGCUAAUACCGCAUAAGCGCACAGGGCCGCAUGGCCCGGUGUGAAAAAACUCCGGUGGUGUAAGAUGGACCCGCGUCUGAUUAGCUUGUUGGCGGGGUAGGGGCCCACCAAGGCGACGAUCAGUAGCCGGCCUGAGAGGGUGGAGGCCACAUUGGGACUGAGACACGGCCCAAACUCCUACGGAAGGCAGCAG